GCGCUUGCUUUGGCAGUGCAUAUACUAAAAUUGGAAUGAUACAGAGAAGAUUAGCACGGUCCCUGUGCAAUGAUGGCAUGCAAAUUCAUAAAGCAUUCUAUUUUUUU
rnacentral:snRNA from 1 species